GGGGGCUGCAUGCGGAAGUUCUCCACGACGGGUUCGCAGAGAGGGAUGAGCAUGGUUUUGUUGCACCUGCGCCUCCUAUUCAGCGUCCUCCGAAGUAAAGACUCGGGAUUUGAAUCCAGUUCAGAGGAUUCCCGCUGAAGGCGCCUUUAUCCGCGCUCACCUGGGCAGCUCAGGGCCAGGGAUCCAGCCGCUGGCCGGGUGCGGGCAGGUGGUUAGGUCUAUUUGACAAGGGAUAUUUGACAAGGGAGCGGUGGGGAGGAGGCCGGCACCCCUCCUCCGAGCGAGGGGAGGCCCAGGCCCUGCCCCGUCUGUUCUGCACGUUAGCAGGGAGGACACUUUUCGUGGAAGGACGCCUUCGGAAAACACUCCAUUAUUGCCUCAGACUUUGUAUUGGAGCAGGGCUCAGUGAACUGCGUUUUCAGACCAAGAAACAGAAUAGCCACUGGCAGUGACCUGCGUUGUAAUUAAUGUCAUCAAGUCACAUAAUGAUUUUGGAGACAGCUCUGGGUCUGAUCACACCCCCUAAGGAUGUCCUGAGGGGACAUCUUUCCAUUCUGCCAUCUCGCCCCACUUCCGUGUGAUUUUCCCCUCCAGACUUGUCACCUCACUGUUCCAAAGGGGCCGCCACAGGCCAAGGAUCGCAGCCUCUCACAGCCCUAAUUAACACGGGAAAAAGGACCUUUCACCCGCGAAUACUUCCCUUUCGGAAAAGGGAAGAAGUCUUUUCCCAGAAAGCUGGAGUGGCCUUCCUCUUCCUCUCCUUGGCUCAUGGGUCCUGGGUUAAUCCUCGCUGAGAAAGUGAAUAUCUGCACAGGGAGGGAGAAAAUGUUGAGUAGCAAGUAAGAGACGCAACAUAUGAAGAAAUUCGAGGCAAAAAAUUUUUUCCAAGACUUUAACAGUUUUUAAAAUGGGCACAGAAUAAAAGGGAUUGGACAAUAUAUGUAUUUUUUAAAUAGGCAAGAGGGACAGUGAAAACCACUCACAGCUCGUUUCUUGGCUUACGUAGUAACCAAAGACUUUUUUAUUCAAAUUGUUCAUAAUUUCUUAGCUAAUUUUAUAAUUAUCCUAAUUACCCAAAAUACAUAGAAUAAAAAAGAAAAGAAAAUGAAAACUGUUA